rnacentral:lncRNA from 1 species
CUGACCUGAGUGCACGCUUGAUUCUUCUCUUCAUUUUCAUUAUGAUGAAAACAUAUCUGUGUGUUUGCCUUCUGUCUGCUGUCGUGGACGUGCAGGCUAAGAUCAACAUAAAGGGCAGUGUUGGGCAAAAUGUGACAGCUACAUGUUUAGGUUGGAACGUUUGGCUUAGUGAUGUAAAAACUAACGAUAAGUACAUUUGUAGAAGUCCCUGCACAGAACAAAAACACAUCAUCACCCAAGCAGCAUACAAAAAGACUAAACGUAAGGACAGAAUAGAGAUAACUAACUCUGAUGAAGGUUUAUUUGUGACCUUCUUUAAUCUGCAAAAGUCAGAAUCUGGAACGUAUUACUGUGGAGUUGAGAGAUAUGGUAGGGAUUCAUUUAUAGAGGUAAACCUUAAAGUCACAGAUGCUGAACAUUCAAAGCACAGGACCCCUGCUGUAACUGUCAUUGUUACACCUACUGUGUCAUCUGCUGUGUUAACAAACAUCACUGUGUCCAACGGCUCAAACACUGUCACAGAUUCACCACCGACCUCAUACAUAACAACUUCUGCGUUGGCGAUGCAACAAGUUGACAUCAUACCAUACUUGAUUUUUGGUCUCUUAAUAAUAUCAAUCGCACUGAUGGUCCUGUUGAAGCACAUGAGGGGUGCAAAGAGACAGCAGAGUAAGACGCUCACACAGACAUUUCACACGUGGCAAAAUCAGAAAAAAAAAACAAAAGCUCUGUGCUGUCUUGUGUUUUCAGACAUUACAUCAUUCGUUCACUGUCCACCAGAAGUUGCACAAAAUGAUGAAGAAGUCGGCCUUAAGGACCAACAAUCUGAGGACCAACCAGCAGCUGCCGUCUCCACACCCAGCACUGACAUUGACCCAGACAGUCUGUGUGCAAAUUGUUUCUACCAACUACCUGCUAAUCGGCAUAAUAGGCAUUCCAAAAAUGUAUCUUUAAUUCCAACUUCUUCUUCUGUUGUCGAUCCAAAACACGCAUGUGCAGAGGGCAAUGAUGUGGUGUACAGCCUCGCUCAACUAUCCAAAAAGGAACCUGAAUACACAGGACAAUGUAAACCAAAUGACUCCCACAGCAUUGAAAGUUAUGCUAUAUAUACCACUCUGAGUGAAAUCCAUAAAAAUAGAUGUAGAAGAAGAACAGAGAGAACAAAAGCCCGACACCAAGGCCUGUCACUGUUUUAAGGGCUAUAUCAGCCAGACAUCGGUCCAUUUCCAUUUGUACUCAUCUGCCAUGUUUGCUUUCAGAGACAUGAAGUCAUUUACUAUUUGAGUCAUAGCUGGAAUUUGCAGGAGGAGGAGGAGUCAUUUUGAAAAGAGAUUUUGUGAUUAUUGUUCUUAUAUUCUUGGUUUGUAAAAGAUCAUGAAGAGAUUCACGUUAUCAUCGUCAUCACCCAC